UACUUUUUUUUUUUUCUUUAGGAAAAUCAAUAAAAAAAAGGUUGCACAAGUUAAAACCUGAAUUGGGCAAUCACACAAUUUGAUAUCAUAAUCCAUGCAUCUGAUCACAGCUCACAGGGGCCUUGUCAAUUCAUUGCUUCGUACCUCCAGAAACUGUUCCAUCACCGACUUUUUCAUUUUACAUUUAAUUUAUGUUUUUUUUUUAUUUCUCUUUUUACUCAAUUCAGAAAUUUCCGUAUAACACGGGUUGCUAUUUAGUUGGAUAUGACAUUCGCAACUUGAGGCCUACAUACAUCAACAGCUAUCAUUAAUGGCAUUCGUACCACACCAUGCGUGUGCAUGUCCGCCGGGGAUCCAAUUUGAUUUCUUGAUCAUCCAAAGCUUUUCGCUGGUCAUAACGUGUGCCUUCCAAUUUUACUACCGUCUACCGAUAUCUGUUAAUGUGUUUAAGGGAGAUGAUCAGUUUCCUCUCUACUUAAAUUAAUAUAUACUACUAAUUUUUUUACUAUUUUCAUAAUAGUUAA
rnacentral:lncRNA from 1 species